rnacentral:rRNA from 1 species
AUUAAUGAAAUGUUUGUCGAGAAGGGUUGUAGCUGGGCCUCCAGGGGCAUGUGCACGCCCUGAUCGCAUCCACCUCCCACACCUGUGCACUGCCUGUAGCUUGGGAUGAUCACGGAGCCCUGAUGGGUGACGAAUGCCCUUGUCUAUGAAUAUUUUCACACACGCUCAAAGUACAACAGAAUGUAUAUCAUAUUGCGUCUGAUAAACGUGACAAAUACAACUUUCAACAACGGAUCUCUUGGCUCUCGCAUCGAUGAAGAACGCAGCGAAAUGCGAUAAGUAAUGUGAAUUGCAGAAUUCAGUGAAUCAUCGAAUCUUUGAACGCACCUUGCGCUCCUUGGUAUUCCGAGGAGCAUGCCUGUUUGAGUGUCAUGAAAUUCUCAACUGCCCCAGGCUUUGUGGCUUGUGGGUGAAGUUGGACUUGGAAAUAUGCUGGCGCAUGAAUGGGCUUUUAUGCCCUGUUGUGCUUGUCGGCUCCUCUUGAAUGCAUGAGCUUUCCAAUCCCUU